AUGUGGAGCGCUUAGAAGUGAGAAUGCCGGUGUGAGUAGCGAAAGACGGGUGAGAAUCCCGUCCACCGAUUGACUAAGGUUUCCAGAGGAAGGCUCGUCCGCUCUGGGUUAGUCGGGUCCUAAGCUGAGGCCGACAGGCGUAGGCGAUGGAUAACAGGUUGAUAUUCCUGUACCACCUAUAAUCGUUUUAAUCGAUGGGGGGACGCAGUAGGAUAGGCGAAGCGUGCGAUUGGAUUGCACGUCUAAGCAGUAAGGCUGAGUAUUAGGCAAAUCCGGUACUCGUUAAGGCUGAGCUGUGAUGGGGAGAAGACAUUGUGUCUUCGAGUCGUUGAUUUCACACUGCCGAGAAAAGCCUCUAGAUAGAAAAUAGGUGCCCGUACCGCAAACCGACACAGGUAGUCAAGAUGAGAAUUCUAAGGUGAGCGAGCGAACUCUCGUUAAGGAACUCGGCAAAAUGACCCCGUAACUUCGGGAGAAGGGGUGCUCUUUAGGGUUAACGCCCAGAAGAGCCGCAGUGAAUAGGCCCAAGCGACUGUUUAUCAAAAACACAGGUCUCUGCUAAACCGUAAGGUGAUGUAUAGGGGCUGACGCCUGCCCGGUGCUGGAAGGUUAAGAGGAGUGGUUAGCUUCUGCGAAGCUACGAAUCGAAGCCCCAGUAAACGGCGGCCGUAACUAUAACGGUCCUAAGGUAGCGAAAUUCCUUGUCGGGUAAGUUCCGACCCGCACGAAAGGCGUAACGAUUUGGGCACUGUCUCAACGAG
rnacentral:rRNA from 1 species